rnacentral:misc_RNA from 1 species
GAAAUGCGAUAAGUAAUGUGAAUUGCAGAAUUCAGUGAAUCAUCGAAUCUUUGAACGCACAUUGCGCCCGUUAGCAUUCUAGCGGGCAUGCCUGUCCGAGCGUCAUUUCAACCCUCAGGGUCCCCGUUUCGGCGGGGAACCUGGUGUUGGGGAUCGGCCCGCCCCGCGCGGCGCCGUCCCCCAAAUCUAGUGGCGGUCUCGCUGCAGCCUCCCCUGCGUAGUAGUUUACAACCUCGCACCGGAGCGCGGCGCGGCCACGCCGUAAAACCCCCGACUUUCUGAACGUUGACCUCGGAUCAGGUAGGAAUACCCGCUGAACUUAAGC